AAUUUCUAUUUUUUUGCCCAGCAUUGACAUUUUUCAUUCAAAAUUUACUUUUUUUUUGCCCAAAAUUCAGAAUUUUUUAUGCCAAACUGAGAAAUCCUGACCCCAAAUGGAGAAAUUUUGACUGAAAAUCGGGACUUUUGACCCAAAAAUUGAAAUGUUUUCCUCAAACUGAGAAUUUUUUCCCCAAAAUCGAGAAACUCAGCCUAAAAUUCAUAUUUAAUCUCCCAAAAUUAACAAUUUUUGUCUACAAACUGAGAAUUCGUCACCCCAAAUAUGGAAUUUUCCACCCCAAAUACAAAAUUUUCUCCAAAAAAGGGAAAUUUUUACCCCAAUUUGAUUUUUUCCCAAAAUUCACCAAAAUUUCACCACUCAAACCACUUUUAAUUCCCUUAAAAACACAAAUUUUCCACAAAACCCCCAAAAUUUCCCCAAAAUAUUUUUAUUUCCUGCCUAAAAUCCAUUUUUUUUCUUUAAAAAUUGGAUUUCCCCCCCCCAAAAUCCCAUUUUCCUCCUCAAAAUUUCACGUUUUUUCAUAAAAUUCCAUUUUCCCCAAAAAUUCAAUUUUUUUCUCCAAAAUGUCACCUUUUUUCCCCAAAAUUCCAUUUUUCCCACAAAAAAAUUCCAUUUUUCUUCUAAAAUUCAAAUUUUUCCCCCCAAAAUUCCGUUUUUCCUCCUCAAAUUUCCAGAUUUUUCAACAAAAUCCCAUUUUUCCCCAAAAAUUGCAAUUUUUUUCUCUUCGAAUUUUCACAUUUUCUCAUAAAAUUCCAAUUUCCCCCAUAAAAAUUUCCAUUUUUUCUCCUCAAAACGUCGGAUUUUUCCCAAAAUUUCCUUUUCCCCCCAUUUUUAAAACCCCGGAAUUUUCCUCUCCUCGAAUCCGUCGGAAUUUCCCCAAAUUUUCGGGUUUUUCCCCCAAUUUUUCGUCGUUUUUCCUCCCCAAAUUCCCGAAUUUCCACCCCAAAAUCUUUCGGUGCUCCAGCCGUGGUCAGCGGUCACUCAUUGGUCACUCGGUGGUCACUCAGUGGUCAGUGGUCACUCCGUGGUCACUCCAUGGUCACUCAGUGGUCAGUGGUCACUCAUUGGUCACUCAGUGGUCACUCAGGGAGGUCGAUGGUCACUCCAGGAUGAUGACCACUGGUCACUCACUGGUCAUUGUGGUCACUCCAUGGUCACUCAGGAAGGUCGGUGGUCACUCUGGUCACUGGUCACUCACUGGUCACUUCGUGGUCACUCAGGGGUCACUCAGGGGAGGCUGAUGGUCACUCAGGGUCACUCAGGGGU
ensembl:lncRNA